UAACACGUACCGGACGAACGUUAUUCGGAAUCACUGGGCUUAAAGAGUCCGUAGGCGGCUCGGUAGGUGAGGUGUGAAAUCCCACGGCUCAACCGUGGAACUGCGCUUCAAACCACCGGGCUUGAGGGAGAUAGAGGUGAGCGGAACUGAUGGUGGAGCGGUGAAAUGCGUUGAUAUCAUCAGGAACACCGGUGGCGAAAGCGGCUCACUGGGUCUCUUCUGACGCUGAGGGACGAAAGCUAGGGGAGCGAACGGGAUUAGAUACCCCGGUAGUCCUAGCUGUAAACGAUGAGCACUAGUUCGAGGGGACCCCCACAUCUUCUUGGACGUAGCGAAAGUGUUAAGUGCUCCGCCUGGGGAGUAUGGUCGCAAGGCUG
rnacentral:rRNA from 1 species